rnacentral:lncRNA from 1 species
AUCUCACAACCUGUUACUACUCAGCUAAAUUUAAGGGAAUAUUUUCCACUCAGAUUGGACUACCCAUUGUUCCUUGGCUCUGCUUGCAUUUUCGAAGUCAUUGGUUUUGUUGCUCUGUAGGCCAGGAGUGUCUUCUCUCAACUUAGUCUGAGUCAAACUCUCAAACUCCUAUGCAUCCUCUGAAGCUCAGUUCUGGUGCCACCUUUUCUUCUCCUUCAGGAGAUCUUCCUUAUAUCUUCCUUCAUCCUCCCCAGUACACGCUUAUCCCGCUGCUCUCACAUUUUACCGUGCUCUUAUUACAUUUUGGCUUGUCAUUCAUUUGACUCAUAGCACAUGCAGCUUGUACUGUUAUCAUGUAUGAUCUUAGUAAGACCUUAUAAUUCCUACUCAAUUAUAACUUCCUUGAGGGAAGAGAUUGAAAUAUGUGAUACUCUCUCUGACAUCACCACUUAGAUGUGUCUUAAGGCAAGUGAAGUUAAUUUGCCUGUGUUUUUGUUUUUCCAUCUGCUUCAUGGAGACAGUCAUGCCCUUCCUAUCUAUCUCACUUCCUUUUUGAAGAUAAAAUACAUAAGGUGUUUGCAUUUCACAGAGCUACUACAAAGGACUACAGAGUUCUUACGUGAAUCUGCUCAAGAUUUGCUGUGACUUGCUGUAGAAGAGUGGGUACAGAGGAAAGGCCCUAUGAGGAUACAGCAAGAAGGCAGCCAUCUGCAAGUCAGGAAGAGACCUAUCAUCAGAAACCAACCAUGCUGGCACCUUGAUCUUGGACUUUGAGUCUCCAGAACUGUGAGAAAUAAAGUUGUUGUUUAAGCCACCUAGUCUCUGAUAUUCUGCUACAGCAGUUUGAGCAGAGUAAUAUAGUUGGCUAUCCAGUUAAACGCCCUAUCACCUACAGCCCCAUCCUCAUUGCCUACUUCCUUCUAGAGAGUGAGCUCCCAUAGAUCUGGCUAAGUGAGUAGCAAGGAAGCAAUGUAAUCUUGCGACCUGAGAACAGCCAUUUAUCCCAGCUGUUCACACUUGAUCUAAGUUUGUCCAACAGAUUCACUCUAGGGGGAAUUUAAAGCAGGGACUUAGAAAUUCUAGUUAGUUUCUGUGAGAUGCCUUAAAAGAGAAAGUAUUUGAAGCCUGGGCUGUGGAACCAUGUGCAUGAAUAUUUUUGGGGAGAAGAAAAAGAAUAAAGUAGAUAUGCAAAUGUGUGAAGAGAGGAAGAGAUGCUAAUCCAUGAGAGUAGCCUAAGAGAGACUGGAGGAGGGACCUUGGCUGUGAACUCUGAAGUGCUGACUUCCAGUCUCUUAAGAGUCCCC